rnacentral:rRNA from 1 species
CCUACGGGAGGCAGCAGUGAGGAAUAUUGGUCAAUGGACGAGAGUCUGAACCAGCCAAGUAGCGUGAAGGAUGACUGCCCUAUGGGUUGUAAACUUCUUUUAUAAAGGAAUAAAACGAGGCACGUGUGCCUUUUUGCAUGUACUUUAUGAAUAAGGAGUGGCUAACUCCGUGCCAGCAGCCGCGGUAAUACGGAGGAUCCGAGCGUUAUCCGGAUUUAUUGGGUUUAAAGGGAGCGUAGAUGGGUUGUUAAGUCAGUGGUGAAAGUUUGCGGCUCAACCGUCAAAUUGCAGUUGAGACUGGCAGUCUUGAGUGCAGGUGAGGUAGGCGGAAUUCGUGGUGUAGCGGUGAAAUGCUUAGAUAUCACGAAGAACCCCGAUUGCGAAGGCAGCUUACUAAACUGUGACUGACAUUGAUGCUCGAAAGUGUGGGUAUCGAACAGGAUUAGAUACCCUUGUAGUC